rnacentral:rRNA from 1 species
CCUCGAAUCAGGUAGGAUUACCCGCUGAACUUAAGCAUAUCAAUAAGCGGAGGAAAAGAAACUAACAAGGAUUCCCCUAGUAACGGCGAGUGAAGCGGGAUGAGCUCAAAUUUAAAAUCUGGCGGUUUCACCGUCCGAGUUGUAAUCUGGAGAAGUGCUAUCUGUGCUGGACCGUGUAUAAGUUUCCUGGAACGGAGCGUCAUAGAGGGUGAGAAUCCCGUCUUUGCCACGGAUCCCCAGUGCUCUGCGAUGCACUCUCGAAGAGUCGAGUUGUUUGGGAAUGCAGCUCAAAAUGGGUGGUAAAUUCCAUCUAAAGCUAAAUAUUGGCGAGAGACCGAUAGCGAACAAGUACCGUGAGGGAAAGAUGAAAAGAACUUUGGAAAGAGAGUUAAACAGUACGUGAAAUUGUUGAAAGGGAAACGCUUGAAGUCAGUCGCGCCUGUCGAGACUCAGCCGGGCUUCUGCCCGGUGUACUUCUCGUCCGGCGGGUCAACAUCAGUUUCGUUCGGUGGAUAAGGGCGGUAGGAAUGUGGCUCUUUCGGGAGUGUUAUAGCCUGCCGUCGCAUGCAUCGAUCGGGACUGAGGAUCUCAGUGCGCCUUUAUGGCCGGGGUUCGCCCACGUACGCACUUAGGAGGUUGGCAU